rnacentral:rRNA from 1 species
AACGCGAAGAACCUUACCAGGAUUUGACAUGCUCUCUAUGAGCCCUUGAAAGAGGGCUCUUCAGUUCGGCUGGGAGAUGCACAGGUGCUGCAUGGCUGUCGUCAGCUCGUGUCGUGAGAUGUUGGGUUAAGUCCCGCAACGAGCGCAACCCUCGUCCUCUGUUGCUAACAGGUAAUGCUGAGAACUCUGAGGAAACUGCCGGUGAUAAGCCGGAGGAAGGUGGGGAUGACGUCAAGUCCUCAUGGCCCUUACAUCCUGGGCUACACACGUGUUACAAUGGCGGUGACAAUGAGUCGCGACCCCGCAAGGGAUAGCUAAUCUCAAAAAGCCGCCUCAGUUUGGAUCGUACUCUGCAACUCGAGUACGUGAAAUUGGAAUCGCUAGUAAUCGCGGAUCAGAACGCCGCGGUGAAUACGUUCCCGGGUC